CCAAAGACUGAAGGCUGUCCCCCUUCUUAGAGUU
rnacentral:tRNA from 1 species